CAGAGGACCGCAGAAGGACGUAGCCCAAGGGCAGCAAUAUCCUGGCCAAUGUCUCACUUGGGUAACUCUCCAUCUUCACAAAGUGCUCAAUAUGGGGUUAUAUUGUUUGCCUGUAUGUGGGUGGUGAAAUAAGACCAGUAGUGCAGCGCAAUUUUUAUGGCUACAAUUUAUUCCCACAUUGGCCGUGGCUACGUUUAAUGAUUAGCUUUUUAAUUACCGUUAUCU